UAAACACCAGUAAAUUUUAAAAUUUGCCCAAGCUGUUCGUUGAUUCAUCUGUCAAAGCACUGCACAGCUUGUCAUUAGUUUGAUUUCGUUCCCGAGUCUGAUCCAAAAUAGUUCUAGGCGGGUUUGCCACAAAAUAUUUAUCCUAAAGCUCAAUCAGUUCCAAAUUAUUUUAGCGGUUCAACAUGUUUCGCACACUGUCAAUUGAGCCCACCAGGAUCGAGGAUCGCUCCAAGGAGGAGGUCCGUGCCAAUCUGGUAGUGUUCGCCGUCACCUGUGCCCUCAUCCGAAUCGUCCCGAUUAUCAUAAGAAAGUUGGCUUAAUUGAUGCCCAGGACUUGCUAAGAUAAUGCUGAUCAUUAUGCAAUGUGUUAAUAAAUAGAAGCCAGUAUCUUAAUAUCACAGCACA